UGCCAGCAGCCGCGGUAAUACGAAGGUGGCAAGCGUUGUUCGGAAUCACUGGGCAUAAAGCGCGCGUAGGCGGCUAAGUCAGUCGGAUGUGAAAUCCCUCAGCUCAACUGAGGAACUGCGUCCGAUACUGCUUGGCUUGAGGCCUGGAGGGGAGAGUGGAAUUCCUGGUGGAGCGGUGAAAUGCGUAGAGAUCAGGAGGAGCGCCGGCGGCGAAAGCGACUCUCUGGACAGGUUCUGACGCUGAGGCGCGAAAGCUAGGGGAGCGAACAGGAUUAGAUA
rnacentral:rRNA from 1 species